rnacentral:rRNA from 1 species
GUCUAGUCUGCCCACUGAAUUUAAUUUUUAAUGGCCGCAGUAUUUUGACUGUGCAAAGGUAGCAUAAUCAUUAGUUUUUUAAUUAAAAGCUUGUAUGAAAGGCUGGACGAGGUAGAAUCUGUCUCUAUUUAAAUUAUAGUAGAAUUUAAUUUUUAAGUUAAAAAGCUUAAAUAUUAUUAAAAGACGAGAAGACCCUAUAGAUCUUUAUAAUUUAUUAAAUGAAAUUAAUUUAGAAUUAUUUAUUUUUUAUUUUAAUAAAUUAUUUUAUUGGGGUAAUAGAAAGAUUAAGUUAAUUCUUUUUUGUAAUAAACAUUGAUUUAUGAAUAUUAAAUGAUCCAGUUUUAUUGAUUAUAAGAUUAAGUUACCUUAGGGAUAACAGCGUAAUUUUUUUAGAGAGUUCAUAUCGAUAAAAAAGUUUGCGACCUCGAUGUUGGAUUAAAGAUUAUUUUAGGUGUAGAAGCUUAAUAAUUUUGGUCUGUUCGACCAUUAAAUCUUUACAUGAUCUGAGUUCAGACCGGUGUAAGCCAGGUCGGUUUCUAUCUUUAAUAAAAUAAAAUAUUUUAGUACGAAAGGACCAAAUAUUUAAUAUAUUUAUAUUUAAUUUAUUGAAUAUUAUUAAAGUUGUAAUUAUUUUGGCAGAUUAGUGCAAUGAAUUUAGAAUUCAUUUAUGUAAUUUAUUUACAAAUAAUACUUGUUUUAUAUAGAUAUUGUUUUUUCUUUAGUAUGUAUAUUAUUAUUAAUUAUUUGUGUUUUAGUAGGGGUUGCUUUUUUAACUUUAUUGGAACGAAAGGUUUUAGGUUAUAUUCAAAUUCGUAAGGUCCCAAUAAGGUAGGAUUUAUAAG